rnacentral:rRNA from 1 species
GAUGAACGCUAGCGGCAGGCUUAAUACAUGCAAGUCGAGGGGUAGCAAGAUUGUAGCAAUACAAUUGUUGACGACCGGCAAACGGGUGCGGAACACGUACACAACCUUCCUACAAGUGGGGAAUAGCCCAGAGAAAUUUGGAUUAAUACCCCGUAACAUAGCGAUGUGGCAUCACAUUGCUAUUAUAGCCUCGGCGCUUGUUGAUGGGUGUGCGGCUGAUUAGAUAGUUGGCGGGGUAACGGCCCACCAAGUCUACGAUCAGUAGCUGAUGUGAGAGCAUGAUCAGCCACACGGGCACUGGGACACGGGCCCGACUCCUACGGGAGGCAGCAGUAAGGAAUAUUGGACAAUGGACGCAAGUCUGAUCCAGCCAUGCCGCGUGAAGGAUUAAGGUCCUCUGGAUUGUAAACUUCUUUUAUAAGGGACGAAAAAAGGUCUUUCUAGAUCGUCUGACGGUACCUUAUGAAUAAGCACCGGCUAACUCCGUGCCAGCCGCCGCCGUAACAC